rnacentral:rRNA from 1 species
CAGCAGCCACGGGAACACGGAGGGUGCAAGCGUUAAUCGGAAUUACUGGGUGUAAAGCGCACAUAGGCGGCUUGGUAAGUUAGAGGUGAAAGCCCGGAGCUCAACUCCGGAAUUGCCUUUAAGACUGCCGAGCUAGUAGGUGAGAGAGGUAAGUGGAAUUCCGAGUGUAGAGGUGAAAUUCGUAGAUAUUCGGAAGAACACCAGUGGCGAAGGCGGCUUACUGGCUCAUUCUAGACGCUGAGGUGCGAAAGCGUGGGGAGCAAACAGGAUUAGAUACCCCUGUAGUCCCUGUCUCUUAUAC